CAGAAAAAUGAAAUGAAGGAAAUAGAAAGGAACCAACAGUACGAUAUGAUCUGACACACCCUUUACUCUGCCUCAGAUUUGCUGCUAGUGGAUCCCUGGUGACUGAUAGACCAGCUCAGUCAUUCCCUCAGAGCUUGCAAGCUCCCAGCACCAGCUGGCUUUGACAUUAGGCCCCGCCUGAUGUUACUGCUCCAGGACCUCCUCAAGUACCUCCGAUCUCCCCCUCAUUUGUCUUUGAGAGCUCCAGAUGUCUACCCACCAAACAGGAAGGAUGAGAUGUGGCAACCUCUGCUGUUUGUUUUGGCACCACUGGGCGGUGAUGACAGCACAUGUGAGGAUUGAACCUCCCAAAUUGCUUGCUUGAGUCCAGAAGAGGAGUGGAAAAGUUGAAUGCUUAAUAUGCAAAUUAGCCAGAGCCAGUUUUUGAAGAAAAUCAGACUGAGAUGAAGAGAAAUGAGGCAGCAGGUGGUUAGCCAUUUUAAUAAAAAUAAAAUUUGACCUACAGCCUGGAACAGCA
rnacentral:lncRNA from 1 species